rnacentral:rRNA from 1 species
CACGUAGGGCGCAAGCGUUGUCCGGAAUUAUUGGGCGUAAAGAGCUCGUAGGCGGUCUGUUGCGUCCGCUGUGAAAACUCGGGGCUUAACCCCGAGCCUGCAGUGGAUACGGGCAGACUAGAGGUAGGUAGGGGAGAAUGGAAUUCCCGGUGUAGCGGUGAAAUGCGCAGAUAUCGGGAGGAACACCGGUGGCGAAGGCGGUUCUCUGGGCCUUACCUGACGCUGAGGUACGGAAGCGUAGGGAGCAAACGGG